UACGGAGGGGGCUAGCGUUGUUCGGAAUUACUGGGCGUAAAGCGCACGUAGGCGGCUUUGUAAGUCAGAGGUGAAAUCCCGGGGCUCAACACCGGAACUGCCUUUGAGACUGCAUCGCUUGAAUCCAGGAGAGGUGAGUGGAAUUCCGAGUGUAGAGGUGAAAUUCGUAGAUAUUCGGAAGAACACCAGUGGCGAAGGCGGCUCACUGGACUGGUAUUGACGCUGAGGUGCGAAGGCCGGGGGAGCAAACGGG
rnacentral:rRNA from 1 species